rnacentral:rRNA from 1 species
GUGAGUAGUUCAGAGUUUGAUCCUGGCUCAGGACGAACGCUGGCGGCGUGCCUAACACAUGCAAGUCGAACGGGGUAAGAAACUUCGGUUUUUUACUUAGUGGCGAACGGGUGAGUAACGCGUGAGAAACCUACCUUUCAGUGGGGGACAACAGUUGGAAACGACUGCUAAUACCGCAUAAUGUCAUUUGGGGGCAUCCCCGAAUGACCAAAGCUUUAUGUGCUGAAAGAUGGUCUCGCGUCUGAUUAGCUAGAUGGCGGGGUAACGGCCCACCAUGGCGACGAUCAGUAGCCGGUCUGAGAGGAUGAACGGCCACAUUGGGACUGAGAUACGGCCCAG